CUACGGGCUGCUGCAGUGGGGAAUAUUGGGCAAUGGGCGAAAGCCUGACCCAGCCAUGCCGCGUGAGUGAUGAAGGCCCUAGGGUUGUAAAGCUCUUUCAAUGGUGAAGAUAAUGACGGUAGCCAUAGAAGAAGCCCCGGCUAACUUCGUGCCAGCAGCCGCGGUAAUACGAAGGGGGCAAGCGUUGUUCGGAUUUACUGGGCGUAAAGCGCGUGCAGGCGGCUUGUUAAGUUAGAUGUGAAAGCCCGGGGCUCAACCCCGGAAUUGCAUUUAAUACUGGCAGGCUUGAGUGUAGGAGAGGAGAACGGAAUUUCCUGUGUAGAGGUGAAAUUCGUAGAUAUAGGAAAGAACACCAGUGGCGAAGGCGGUUCUCUGGCCUAACACUGACGCUGAGGCGCGAAAGCGUGGGGAGCAAACAGGAUUAGAUACCCUGGUAGUC
rnacentral:rRNA from 1 species